GACGGCCAUAGUAUGUUGGAAACACCUGUUCCCAUUCCGAACACAGAAGUUAAGCUUCAUACGUUGGCGGUAAGUAGUAC
rnacentral:rRNA from 1 species